rnacentral:lncRNA from 10 species
CUAAUCCUUCUAAUGGAAGGCCUUUGGACAACUUUGCUUCUCCAGAAGCAAACCACAGUACACGCAUUUCUUCUAAGUACACAAGUCUUCAGAAAUUCCAUUGUAAACACUGGUUGAACUGCAUGCUCAAAUUCAAAUACACUGGACUGGAUCAAACUCUCACCCCUGAAUUCAGUCAAAUUCUGCCAAACACACGGGCUAGUUUCAAAAUUGAGCAUGCAAAAUGGAGCAUUUGAAAAUGAAGUUAAACUAAUGGACAAAUCUGUCCUGGGAGCCCUCUGCGGAACAAGCAGACACCGCUCGCGAUCCAAUGCCAGAGAAUCAAACGCUUGCCGACUACUGCCGCGACCUUGGCCCGGAAUCUCCUUGCCUUCAUGUAAACUUUCAAGUUGGCUUGUCAUUUCAAAAAUUGGAUGCAAAGAAAUGGGAGGAGCAGUCCAGGUCCAAGAGAAGCUCUCAGAUCCAGGGGGAGAUACGGCAGCUCAGAGGCCAGAAGGACAAUGAACAGAGACGGCUUAACGUCCGUUCUCAACGGUGUUUGAGCCGUUGGGAUAAAAGAAGAGAAAACUAAAAGCUGAUAAAAGUGAUUUCAUUACAUUUGGGAAAAUCAAUUCACUGAGACUAAGGCACUGCAGUAGAGAAGAAGAGGCUGGCCCACCCAGGAGAACUGGAGUUAUCAUUCAAGUCAGUCUCCCCCACCUCCAAGCUUGAAGGUUAGGGUUUUUAUGGACAAUUUCGUGGGCAGGGGGCUAAGGAAUGGAUGGUGCUGAUGGGUUGGGGAUGAAAUCACAGUGAUGUGGAAAACAUUCCCUGUGUACUGAGUCCACCUCUGGGUGGGGCCACCAGACCAGUUGAGUCAAGAGUCCGGGUGGGGUCAGUCUGAAAAAUAUCUCAAAAACCAAUCUUAGGUUUUACAAUAGUGAUGUUACCAAUAACAGCAAUAGAGAAAGUCACAAAUCUUGCGCUCUCUGGCCACAUGAUUUCUGAGCAGUAACGGAGGAUUAUGGAAACUACACCUACAUUUUGGCAGAGUGCAGGCUCUUCCCAUAAUCCUAUUCUUGUGACCUUUCAUUAGUCUAAAGAAGGCGGGUGUUGGUCCCUGAGCAAGAAGAGUUAAUUUAGAGAGAGACUAUUUUCCUUGCUUUCAAGCUAAACUAUAAAUUCCUCCUAAAGUUAGCUUUAUAACUAUAAGCUAUAAGGAGAGCUUGAAGGUCAGGAACAAGACAGAGUCAACUAUGUCAGACUUCUCUUACUGUCAUAAUUUUGCAAAGGCGGUUUCAAUGAGAAGGGAGAACAGGUGGUUGGAGAGGGGCUCAAGCCACCAUAUGAGUGGCAAAAUCAAGCAUGACCUUGUUUUGUGGGCAGGCUGGUAAGGCCUGCUCUUAUGAGCUAUGCGUGGAUGUGACUGAAAUCCAUUGUGAUGGUGCUCAAUUAUUUUUGGGAAUAUUCAUUCUAUAAAUAUUUCUUUUUUCUCUUCCAUUUGAAACCACUUUAUUUUUUUCUCUUUCAACACAAUCAUUUUAAAUAGUGGGGCACUUUUUAUCACAUGGCUCUAUCAUAUUUGAUUUUAGGAUCUUGCUAUUGUUGGACUUUUAGGCUAUUUUGUUUUGUGCUAUCAUAAAUCAUGAUACAGUAAACAUCCUCUUAAUACAGUUUUGAGCACAACUAUUAUUUUCUUAAAAUAAAGACUCCAGAGGGGGUCAAAGAAUAGUUUUCAAGUUUUUAAUAGCACUACACCUUAUCCUCCACAAGGUUGUGCCCAUUUAUACUCCCACUAGGAGGGCAGAAGUGUUUGCCCACAUCCAUUUUAACAGUGGGCAUUGUUAUGUGAAACACUUUUGUGUGUGCGUAUGUGAAAUGGCUUGCUUUGUCACCCAGGCUGUAGUGCAAUGGUGUGAUCAUAGUGCACUGUAACCUGGAACUCUGGUGUUUCUGAAAUCCUCCCACCUCAGCCUUCCCAGGUAGCUGGGACUAUUGGCA